rnacentral:rRNA from 1 species
AACGAACGCUGGCGGCAUGCCUAACACAUGCAAGUCGAACGAGACCUUCGGGUCUAGUGGCGCACGGGUGCGUAACGCGUGGGAACCUGCCCUUAGGUUCGGAAUAACUCCCCGAAAGGGGUGCUAAUACCGGAUAAUGUCUUCGGACCAAAGAUUUAUCGCCUUUGGAUGGGCCCGCGUUGGAUUAGCUAGUUGGUAGGGUAAAAGCCUACCAAGGCGACGAUCCAUAGCUGGUCUGAGAGGAUGAUCAGCCACACUGGGACUGAGACACGGCCCAGACUCCUAAGGGAGGGCGGAGUGGGGAAUAUUGGAAAAUGGGCGAAAGGCUGAAUCAGCCAUGGCGGGGUAGGGAUGAAGGGCUUUGGGUUUGAAAGCCCCUUUUACCGGGAAGAUAAUGACAGUACCGGGAGAAUAAGCGCCGGCUAACUCCGUG